AAAAGAAAGGUGUUUGUGAAGAGAAUAGAGAUGACAGAAAAUUCCAGAAGACAGUCUCUGUGAACUUGGAGAGAUUAAGUUACAAUUUAUUGCCUCUUAUUAAUUAGGUUUAUAUUAAGGACAUGGGAAACUUGAAGACCAACAGAUUGAAUGGCAAACAGAAUAUAAUGUGGCUACAUAUUAAGUUACUCACAUAAGCAAGACGAAUUGUUCCACUUAGUAAAUGACUGCCUAUGGAAUCCUUGCCAUCAUCCUGAAAUCCCAUUGAGUUAUCCUGAUCUACCUUCAUAACUUCACAACUUUUGGAACUCACAUGUACCAAUUCCAUAAGAGGUUACCAAACUGAAGAGCUUGUGGGUAGUGGACAUAUCUGGAAGAGGAAAGAUGAGUUGAAAAGCUUGCUGAAAGGCGAAAUCUUGGUCGUCUUGGGAUGGCCUGCAAUUCUCAGUGAGCCAUUAUUCACAGCCUCCUGAGAAAGGGCAACUAUGAAUGUAUGGGCACUGGCGUGCCAGUCUGUCUGGCUCAGGUAUCUAAUGAUUUGAAAUCCUCAAAUUUGCCAGCAAUGUGAGUCAGGACAACAAGACAACCUGCAUCAUCCCCAGACAUCCACAGCUAGCCGUGUGCAACUAUGAGGAGCUCAACAAGCUGCAGGGAGAAGCGCCCACCGCUCUGAAGUGGUGCUCAAUAAAACCACCAUGGGUUGCAUGACUAAAGUGAACAAGAAUCAGUAACACAGAAUUAACUGCAUUGCCAAGACACUUUCACUUUUCUGUAUUCCUGAACCAUGAUUGUGCUAUUUCUGAACUCUACAUGUGGCAAAAAUCAGUUGACCAUUUCUGUCACAGAAUCUAGAAAUACUACAAAAACAUAGUCUUGAUCUACCACAACAUAUUGCAUAAAUGCACAUAAGUAUUUUGUGCUGUACUCAAACAGCUGUACUUUUUAAUACUUCCAGAUAGCAUUGAAACCAGCUCAAAAUGUCCUGAUUUAGUCGCAAUUUGUGAAGCUUGAAUUGUGGAAACCAAGGAUGAGCUAACAACACCACUAGGGGAAGUAUUUAGGGAUUUAGUAGAAAAGAAAGAGCUUGAGAAUGAAAAAUGUACUUCCUUUAUUUAAAAAAAGGAAGCAGGGAGAUCCAGAUAACUAUAGACCAAUUAGUCUGACAGCAGUACAAAAUAAAACUCUGUAAUUAAUGAUUAAGAAAUGGAGGAGCAUUAAGAGAGAUAUAAUCCAAUUGGCAAGUGUCACAAUGGUUUAUAAAAGGCAAUUAUUAUCAGAAUAGCUCAACAGAAAUAUAAACAAAGUACAUAAAAAUGAAAUGAGUGCACCUACA